GAUGAACGCUGGCGGCGUGCCUAAUAUAUGCAAGUCGAGCGAACGGACGAGAAGCUUGCUUCUCUGAUGUUAGCGGCGGACGGGUGAGUAACACGUGGAUAACCUACCUAUAAGACUGGGAUAACUUCGGGAAACCGGAGCUAAUACCGGAUAAUAUUUUGAACCGCACGGUUCAAAAGUGAAAGACGGUCUUGCUGUCACUUAUAGAUGGAUCCGCGCUGCAUUAGCUAGUUGGUAAGGUAACGGCUUACCAAGGCAACGAUGCAUAGCCGACCUGAGAGGGUGAUCGGCCACACUGGAACUGAGACACGGUCCAGACUCCUACGGGAGGCAGCAGUAGGGAAUCUUCCGCAAUGGGCGAAAGCCUGACGGAGCAACGCCGCGUGAGUGAUGAAGGUCUUCGGAUCGUAAAACUCUGUUAUUAGGGAAGAACAUAUGUGUAAGUAACUGUGCACAUCUUGACGGUACCUAAUCAGAAAGCCACGGCUAACUACGUG
rnacentral:rRNA from 1 species